ensembl:lncRNA
CUCUCAUCUGCAACACGUACUGAAGAAUGCCUUGCUCACCUGCUGCAGAUGUUGUAGGGGCUUCCCAGCUCUUCCUCAGCAGAUCUAGUGGAAUCUGGACAGAGCAUCUGUAAAACAAUUAUAAAGUGAAAACCCUGUUGAUGCUUGGGGUACCUUUCUAUAUGCAAACAACAUGAACGUUGUUAAAAUUUAGUAACUGAAUGUUCCUGACAAGCGGCGUGGACAGAAUAAUAGUAAUGGGAUUACUUAAAUUGCGAGAGCACAAAUGCCAUUCCAAUUAGUGGGGCAGUAGAAAUAGGCCUGUGAAUCUCAUAUCCAAUACCAAUCUGGCAUAAAUAGUGACCCUAUCCUGCCAGGGUGAUAACUAAGCAUGAAGAGACUGGUAGGGCACCUAAAUCCUCCUCCCCUAUAUGAUGAACACAGACUGGGUAAGGCUUAUGAGGCUUGUUCACAGUGAUAUGAUCUAGGGGUGGUCCAACAUUACGUGAAAGAGAACCGUUAGUAUAUGACAAUGCCAUCUGAAAAAAUGAGGAAUGAGUGGCAUUCAAAGAACGAUUGUUGAGAAAAUGCCCCAUUCACCAUCGAUAGAGAUUAACACAUCCUUUUGAUGAGAGUAACAUUAAUCAUAGAACUAAGGGAAUGCAGGGAAAAGGGGUUGUCUACUGAAGAUGGCAGAACAAAGUGAGUUGAGAUGUUAUGCUGGUGAGCAGUAAGAUUAGCAUAUUGCCAAAAGGUGUUAUGGGAGUACAGGUGAAGUCCUGUGGUUAGUGUUGGUGCCAGGAGAUACAGAGCCAUAGGUACUAUCAAGACUAGAUAAUAGAGGAGUGGUUUCAUUAGGAGGAUCAAUUUGUAUUUGUUUCCAAGUCUAAUACAAUAAAAUGUGUAUGUGUUAAGUUAAGACGAGAAGAGGCCUCCUAGGGGCUGGUUGACUGUGAAUUUUCUUCUGUCUAGGGUGAGUUUGUUCUAGUUGGGCACCUUUCAGUCUACUUGUGUGGAUCCACUAGGGUUGAGAGUCAGUGAAUAUGGUCGUGCGAGUGACACUUAUCACCGUUGUGGGAAGUCCAAAGGCAGCUUCUCCAACUUUCCUGGGGUUGAGGCUUUUCCCUGUACUGCAUCACCUGGGAGAAAGGGAAACACCAGGGUUACCUUUAGUCCACGAGGUUUGAAAUGGUCUGCCCAUUAUGAUUUCAAAAGGAAAUAAUUGAGACUUUGGAUGUGGCGUCAUUCGAAUCUCACAGAACAGCACUGAAGCUGAAUUUGAUGACGGACCAAAAACUGAGUCUGAUGGAGCUCCU